AUGUCUACCAAUGGCCUACAGUUAAACGGGGCCAUUGACGGAGAUGCCGUGUGGAGCUCUCAGGUAAUGCCACUGGAGUCUCAGGAUUCCAUGAGCGCUGUGAAUGUGGAGGCGGUCGCCGCCGGCGAGCCACAGGCCAUGGGAAAGGGGGCCACAUAUGACGUUUGCUCCGAAGCGACCAGCGGGUGGACGCGAAGGAUUGGGAAGGCACCUGAGGAGAGGGAGAUGAACGCUGAUAGGAAAACAACACUUGAAUUGUCAGUUCGUGCUUAUGCAGAGACAAAAUCUGGGCCAGUCGUCAAUCCAACAAUUGGCACAUCUUUUGACUUGUUGGAUGAAGCCUAUGAGUUCUACAACCUCUAUUCAUGGGAAUAUGGUUUCGGUGUGAGGCUUGCGAAAAGCAGACUGAAUGUUAACCGGAAGAGAUGUAUGCAAGAAAUAUUGUGUGCUUGUGCGGGAAAACCAAUGAGGGAAAAUAGUUGA
rnacentral:rRNA from 1 species